rnacentral:rRNA from 1 species
AACGAACGCUGGCGGCAGGCUUAACACAUGCAAGUCGAACGCCCCGCAAGGGGCGUGGCAGCCGGGUGUGUAACGCGUGGGAACAUACCCUUUUCUACGGAAUAGCUCUGGGAAACUGGAAUUAAUACCGUAUACGCCCUACGGGGGAAAGAUUUAUCGGGGAAGGAUUGGCCCGCGUUGGAUUAGCUAGUUGGUGGGGUAAAGGCCUACCAAGGCGACGAUCCAUAGCUGGUCUGAGAGGAUGAUCAGCCACAUUGGGACUGAGACACGGCCCAAACUCCUACGGGAGGCAGCAGUGGGGAAUAUUGGACAAUGGGCGCAAGCCUGAUCCAGCCAUGCCGCGUGAGUGAUGAAGGCCUUAGGGUUGUAAAGCUCUUUCACCGAUGAAGAUAAUGACGGUAGUCGGAGAAGAAGCCCCGGCUAACUUCGUG